rnacentral:rRNA from 1 species
GACGAAGGAUGCAAGCGUUAUCCGGAUUCAUUGGGUUUAAAGGGUGCGUAGGCGGCCCGGUAAGUCAGUGGUGAAAGCCUGUUGCUUAACAACAGAACUGCCAUUGAUACUGCUGGGCUUGAGUACAGAUGCUGUGGGCGGAAUAUGACAUGUAGUGGUGCAAUACAUAGAGAUGUCAUAGAACACCGAUUGCGAAGGCAGCUCACAAAACUGUAACUGACGCUGAGGCACGAAAGUGCGGGGAUCAAACAGG